rnacentral:rRNA from 1 species
AAACCGGGAGGAAAACGUGAAACUGAGUACUCACGCAUACCUGUGAACCUCAAAAAAACUUUGCCACGGCGGGACGCGUCCCCGCCCCGCCCCUUUUAAGGGGUGGCGGAGCCGAGGCCCCCCCGCCGGGGGACCCCAACCAUAAACUCUGCAUAUAUCACGGCAUGUCUGAGAGGAUUUAGUAUCAAAUGAAUCAAAACUUUCCACAACGGAUCUCUUGCUUCUGGCAUCGAUGAAGAACGCAGCGAAAUGCGAUAAGUAAUGUGAAUUGCAGAAUUCAGUGAAUCAUCUCAAUCUUUGAACGCACAUUGCGCCCGCCGUACUCUGGCGGGCAUGCCUGUUCGAGCGCCAUUUCAACCCUCACGCCCCCGGGUUUGGUGUUGGCGACCGGGACACGGUUGGGAGGGGCCACGUGCGCCCCCCACUCCGCGCCGUCGCCCCAAUGGAUAGGCGGCCACGCCGCGGUCUCCCCUGCGCCGUAACACACCACCUCGCACGCGGCGGCCCGGCCCAGUGUCUGCCGUAAACCCCCCCACUUUCUCGUGACUCGACGUCUAAUCAAGUAGGAGUACCCGCUCAACCCUUCAUAUCUCUACGCGCAGGAAAAUCACCCUCCUAAGUUGCCCCCGCUUACCUCCACAGUCCUCACGUAGUCACGAUGACCCACACCUUCUCUCUCGCCACCGCUCUACCACAUGCAGGACCCACACCACGCCGACGACUGCAGCAUCACCCGCCGCAGCGCCGCCACUUAGCCCACCCACUAACAACACUCCUCCCGGAGUCUAAUAUCUCGAUACCUAUCACUUCAUAACCACACUCCUCCCUUACCCUUCCCCCCCCCUCACCCUCAUCAUUCCUCCACACUAUGAUUAUCUAAGCAUCACCAACACUAUGAGGCACAUAUCACGAUAUACACAAUCAGCAAUAGAAUCUUCUCACGCCUAAGGUAUC